GGAUGACAGUACGAAGGGAGGGCUGACACAGUUACACUCCCACCCUACAACUCUGGAGUAAGUGCCAACACAUCAGCCACGUAGGAUGACUAGUGAUCCUUAUUACAGUUGAGGCCUAAGUUAGACCCUGUCCAUCAGACCAUUUCACAUUCCUCAUUGCAAUCAAAUCACUGAUACUUCCCACAUCUCAUUACACAUUAGCCUAGGCAGGCAGCAACAAAACUUAUAUUUUGGAAAAAAGAAACACAUUUGUAGUUUCUUGUGCACUGAUAUUCAUUAUAAGGUAGGGGGCUGCAUUACCCCUCCUCUUACCAUCUGGACCCUGUCUCCUCCCAUUUAAAGUUUUGUAAAGGCUUUUACAGUUACUGUAAC